rnacentral:tRNA from 1 species
CAAUAGCUCAGCGGUAGAGCGCUCGGCUGUUAACCGAUAGGUCGUAGGUUCGAAUCCUACUUGA